GCACAAGCAGCGGAGCGUGUGGUUUAAUUCGAUGCUACACGAAGAACCUUACCAGGGUUUGACAUGCAAGUGGUAGGAAACCGAAAGGUGACCGACCUUCGGGGAGCUUGCACAGGUGCUGCAUGGCUGUCGUCAGCUCGUGUCGUGAGAUGUUCGGUUAAGUCCGCUAACGAGCGCAACCCUCGCUGUGUGUUAUAUGUGUCACACGGGACUGCCGGUAAAAGCCGGAGGAAGGUGAGGAUGAUGUCAAGUCAGCAUGACCUUUAUAUCCAGGGCUACACACACGCUACAAUGGUCUGUACAAUGGGUAGCCAAGCCGCGAGGCGGAGCCAAUCCUGAAAGCAGGCCUCAGUUCAGAUUGCAGUCUGCAACUCGACUGCAUGAAGCCGGAGUUGCUAGUAACCGCAGGUCAGCAAUACUGCGGUGAAUACGUUCCCGGGUCUU
rnacentral:rRNA from 1 species